rnacentral:rRNA from 1 species
AUUGAACGCUGGCGGCAUGCCUUACACAUGCAAAGUCGAACGGCAGCGCGGGAGCAAUCCUGGCGGCGAGUGGCGAACGGGUGAGUAAUAUAUCGGAACGUGCCCAGUAGUGGGGGAUAGCCCGGCGAAAGCCGGAUUAAUACCGCAUACGACCUGAGGGUGAAAGCGGGGGAUCGCAAGACCUCGCGCUAUUGGAGCGGCCGAUAUCAGAUUAGCUAGUUGGUGGGGUAAAGGCCUACCAAGGCAACGAUCUGUAGUUGGUCUGAGAGGACGACCAGCCACACUGGGACUGAGACACGGCCCAGACUCCUACGGGAGGCAGCAGUGGGGAAUUUUGGACAAUGGGCGCAAGCCUGAUCCAGCAAUGCCGCGUGCAGGAAGAAGGCC